UGGGGAAUAUUGCGCAAUGGACGAAAGUCUGACGCAGCCACGCCGCGUGUGCGAUGAAGGUCUUCGGAUCGUAAAGCACUGUGGGGGGAGAAGAAACAAGCCGGUGAAGAGCCGGCCCUGACGGUAUCCCCUUAGCAAGCACCGGCUAACUCCGUGCCAGCAGCCGCGGUAAUACGGAGGGUGCAAACGUUGCUCGGAAUCAUUGGGCGUAAAGCGCACGUAGGCGGCCUAUCAAGUCGGAUGUGAAAGCCCUGGGCUCAACCCAGGAAGUGCGUCCGAAACUGACAGGCUUGAAUGCCGGAGGGGCCCAGAGAAUUCCCGGUGUAGAGGUGAAAUUCGUAGAUAUCGGGAGGAAUACCAGUGGCGAAGGCGCUGGGCUGGACGGCGAUUGACGCUGAGGUGCGAAAGCGUGGGGAGCAAACAGGAUUAGAUACCCACGUAGUCCCUGAGCGGGCUGGCAAGGCGCAU
rnacentral:rRNA from 1 species